UGGAGACUUGGACUUCUUGUGGCUCUAGGAGCCAAGAGGGAUUUCUUCUUGCCAUUCCUCUAGUUCCCUGCAGGCAGCAUCAGGAAUGGUGCAUGCAUGCCCUGCACACAGGCCAGUGAGGACACAGCCAGUGUGGGAAGGGGAUUGUAGAACCAUAAAAGCAGAGUGGUUCAGGUUGCAAGGGGAUUUGAAGAUCAUCCAGUUCCAAACUCCCUGCCAUGGGCUGUGUAAUUUCCACACACCAGGUUAUUGCAGCUCCAUCCAGCCUGGCCAUGAAGACUUUGAGGGGUGGGGCAUCCACAGCUUGUCUGGACAAUCUGUUCCAGUGCCUCACCACCCUCAGAGUAAUACAUUUCUUGCCCAACAUCUAAACCUUCCCUCUGUUUGAAACCACUCCCCUUUGUCCUGUAACUACAUACUCUUUGUCCCUGUCCAUCUUUAUUGUAGGGGCCCAUCAGGUACUGGAAGGCCACAAUUUGGUCACACCAAACCCUUCUCCAGGCUGAACGAUCCAAGUUCUCUCAGAGAUCCCUUGUAGGAGAGGUGCUCCAUCCCUCUGAUCAUGUUGCUGUUCCUCCUAUGGAUUAUCUCCAGCAGGUGCAAGCCCCUCCUGUGCAGGGGACCCCAGAGCUGGAUGCAGCCCAGGACACCACUGUCUUUCUGAGCUGGGAGUGCACAUGGUGAACUCAUGGCCAGCCUCUCAUCCACCAGCACCCCAGGGAUGCUGCCCUCGAGGUGUAACAAGGGCACCUCUGAUAAAGAGCAAAUGCACCUUCACAUUUUGAGGUGCAGUGACCUGCAGUACUGCAUCUGGGAGCUGUCCUUGUGCCUGGGAACAGCCAGAGUGCCACCUCCUGCUCCUGGGGUGAACUACACCAGCCUCCCAGCGGGAAUCCCCUUCCCCUGUCCCACAUCAUUCACAGCCAUCUCUUCUUUGCACCGCCAGGCACCAAAACCCAUGUGGGAGCUCGGAUCCCCCAUCCCACUCCAGCUUCCUUUGCUGGUCAGGGCUUUUGUACCCACAGCUUCAACACAGAAUCACAGAGCGGGUCAGGUUGGAAGGCACCACAGUGGAUCCCCUGGUCCACCAUCUCCUUAAGCAGGGUCAUCCUAGAGCACAGGGAACAGGACUGUGUCCAGACAGUUCUUGAGCAUCUCCAGUGAUGGAGUCUCCACAAUCUCUGCAGGCAAUCUGUUCCAGUGCUGGGUCACCCACACAGUAAAGUUCUUCCUCAUUUUUAGGUAUUAUUUCCUGUGCAUCAGUUUGUGGUUUCUGCCUCUUGUCCCAUUAGCUUGGCAGCACCGAGCAGAGUGCACCUCUGUCCUUCACACCCUCCCUUGCGAUACCUAUGGACAUUGAUGAGCUCCCCUCUCCAUCAUGCUGAGGCGGAACAGGCCCAGCUCCCUCAUCCUUUCCUCUUAAGAGAGAUGCUCCUGUCCCUUAAUCAUCUUUUUUACGCUCCUCUGGACUGGCUCCAGGGGCUCCACGUCUCUCUCGUACUGGGAAGCUCAGAAGCGGACAGAGUACUGCACAUACCGGAAUGGUAAGGCUUAAGAUUGAUUUCUAUUAUUAUUUCCUCGAACACUGAAAAGACAACCUCUCCAAACACCGUUUUGCAGCGGCGACACGGGCCUGCCAUACACUCCGGCCCCGACACCUUCUGUCCCCGCCCUUUCAGCUGCGGCUCCACGCAGCCUCAGGCCGGCAGAAGGACGCGGCUCCCGGCCGCGGGGGGAGCUGCAGGAUGACGCCGGGGCAGUGCGGCUCCCGGUUCCCUGCCCCAGCCACGGAGCCCGAGAGGCGCCGCCGCGAGCUCUGUGGAAUACUCUGGAAGCGGUUUACCACCGCAGCUGUAUUCCUCCGCGACGGGGCGCGGAAAAGAGUUCCUCGCCGGGGCUCCCCGCCGCCCCUCGCCGUGGCGCCAGGAGGUCCCGGUCCCGCGGCCCUCCGAGCGUCGCGGCGAAGGGCGGCGGGGAGCCGCGGCUGGCGACUGCAAAGCGGCAGCAUGAAGCCGAGCAUUCAUUGCACGCCCGCCCCCGCCAUGGCGGCGCUAAACAGCAACGCCGGUGCCUCCCACACAGCAUCGAUCUGCGGCUCGCUGACCAAGACCCCUUUAAGGCGGAGGGAUACAAUGUGCCGUGAGGGUCCCCUCGUUCCGAGCCUAUAAAAGGCGGCCGGUGAGGGGCUGUCGCUCUCUCGCCGGUCCCUCACGCCCGAGACGAUGCCCGAGAAAGUGCAGCACGAGGAGGAAGAUGCGGAGACCUUCGCCUUCCAGGCGGAGAUCGCCCAGCUCAUGUCGCUCAUUAUCAACACCUUCUAUUCCAAUAAGGAGAUCUUCCUGCGGGAGCUCAUCUCCAACGCCUCCGACGCCCUGGAUAAGAUCCGCUAUGAGAGCCUGACUGAUCCUUCCAAGCUGGACAGUGGGAAAGACCUGAAAAUUGACAUCAUCCCCAACCCCCGGGACCGCACGCUGACCCUGGUGGACACUGGCAUUGGGAUGACAAAAGCAGACCUCAUCAACAACCUGGGCACCAUUGCCAAAUCUGGGACCAAAGCCUUCAUGGAAGCCCUGCAGGCUGGCGCAGACAUCUCCAUGAUCGGGCAGUUCGGUGUGGGUUUCUAUUCCGCCUAUCUGGUGGCUGAGAAGGUGGUGGUCAUUACCAAGCACAACGAUGACGAGCAGUAUGCUUGGGAGUCAUCAGCUGGGGGCUCGUUCACUGUGCGAACUGACCACGGUGAGCCCAUUGGACGUGGCACCAAAGUGAUCCUGUACUUGAAGGAGGACCAGACUGAGUACUUGGAGGAGCGUCGUGUGAAAGAGGUGGUGAAGAAGCACUCCCAGUUCAUUGGCUACCCCAUCACGCUCUAUCUGGAGAAAGAACGUGAGAAAGAGAUCAGUGAUGAUGAAGCAGAGGAGGAGAAAGAUGAGAAGGAGGAAGAGUCAGUGUCCAAAGAUGAAGAGAAACCCAAAAUCGAGGAUGUGGGCUCUGAUGAGGAGGAGGAGGGAGACAAAGGCAAGAAGAAAAAGACCAAGAAAAUCAAGGAGAAAUAUAUUGACCAGGAGGAGCUGAACAAGACCAAACCAAUUUGGACCCGCAAUCCUGAUGACAUCACCCAGGAGGAGUAUGGCGAGUUCUACAAGAGCCUCACCAAUGACUGGGAGGACCACUUGGCUGUCAAGCACUUCUCUGUGGAAGGGCAGCUGGAGUUCAGGGCCCUGCUUUUCAUCCCACGCCGUGCCCCUUUUGACCUCUUUGAGAACAAGAAGAAGAAGAACAACAUUAAGCUGUAUGUGAGGCGGGUCUUCAUCAUGGACAGCUGUGACGAGCUCAUCCCUGAAUACCUGAACUUCAUCCGGGGUGUUGUGGACUCAGAGGACCUUCCUCUGAACAUUUCUCGUGAGAUGCUCCAGCAGAGCAAGAUCCUCAAAGUGAUCCGCAAAAACAUUGUGAAGAAAUGCUUGGAGCUCUUUUCUGAGCUGGCAGAAGACAAAGAGAACUACAAGAAAUUUUACGAAGCUUUUUCCAAGAAUCUGAAGUUGGGCAUCCACGAGGACUCCACCAACCGAAAGCGCCUUUCGGAGCUGCUGCGGUACCACACGUCGCAGUCGGGCGAUGAGGUGACUUCGCUCUCGGAGUACGUGUCCCGUAUGAAGGAGAACCAGAAGAGCAUCUACUACAUCACAGGGGAGAGUAAGGAGCAGGUCGCUAACUCGGCCUUUGUGGAGCGCGUGCGGAAGCGUGGCUUUGAGGUGGUGUACAUGACAGAGCCCAUCGAUGAGUACUGCGUGCAGCAGCUCAAGGAGUUUGAUGGCAAGACCCUGGUAUCAGUCACCAAAGAGGGGCUGGAGCUGCCUGAGGAUGAGGAAGAGAAAAAAAAGAUGGAGGAGAGCAAGGCCAAGUUUGAGAACCUCUGCAAACUUAUGAAGGAAAUCCUGGACAAGAAGGUGGAGAAGAGGAGCCGCUAGAGGAGACUGGAGGUCCCAGCAUGCACCAUCUUGCUCUAAGCAGCCAGGCUGCAGGCGAGGGGCACUGACCCAAAUACGUGCAUUGAUGGGAGAGGGUCACCGUCUCAAACCGGCUGGUCUCGUCUCCCUGCUGCAUCGUCACCAGCACCUACGGCUGGACAGCCAACAUGGAGCGCAUCAUGAAGGCUCAGGCACUGCGGGACAACUCUACCAUGGGCUAUAUGAUGGCCAAGAAGCACCUGGAGAUCAACCCUGACCACCCAAUUGUAGAAACCCUUCGCCAGAAGGCUGAUGCUGACAAGAAUGACAAAGCUGUUAAAGAUCUGGUGGUGCUGCUCUUUGAGACUGCUCUGCUGUCCUCUGGUUUCUCCCUGGAAGAUCCCCAGACCCACUCCAACCGCAUCUACAGGAUGAUCAAACUUGGGCUUGGCAUAGAUGAAGAUGAGGUGGCUGCAGAGGAGCCCAGUGCAGCUGCCCCUGAGGAAAUCCCCCCUCUGGAGGGAGAUGAAGAUACAUCCCGCAUGGAAGAGGUAGACUAAAGGAGGAAGGCUCUUCCUUCACCUGCCAGACCUCUGCUCUAUCUAGAUGGUCUGCUCCCACCAGCUGCUACUGACUUCUUGGUGGUGUCUGUUCUUGUGGCUCUGUUUGGUUGGGCUUGUUUCUGGCAGGGCGCAGGAGGGCAUGAUUCCCUGUUUGUUAGUAGUGAUUCAGGUAGCCUGAGCCUGUCUGUUCUGUGUCUUUCUGCUUGUGUAGAAACAGCUGAUGGGGAGUGGAGGUGUGAGGAGGCAUCAGGCUUCCCCUCUCUCCCCUUCAUGGAGUGUCCCAUGUUACCAGUAGGCAUCAAACACUGUCCUUAUUCCACUGGGGUGGGAGAGCCCUUGCUCCAAACUGCUGCCUCCCUGAAGCCCCAGGAUAGCAUAAUGUAUUUUGGUUGGGUUUUGUUUGAUUAUUUUUCUGGAAUUUUGUUCUACUGGAAUUAAAGAAUUGAUGAUUUACGUG